rnacentral:lncRNA from 1 species
ACUUUAUAUCAAGGCCAAACGACCGUCAUCUUGCCUCAGUCACCUCCUCCGCCUCGCAGGAAAGACACCAUGGCCGCCGCCGCGUCGCUCCUCCUCUUUAUCGGCUUCCAUCCACGUGGUUGUCCAGAUGGUUGAAGGAAAUCUGUGGAAUGCGCUGAAGACAAAAGGUUCGAGUAAUUAAUGAAACAAAUUGGCAGAAACGGAUGACUGCCUGAAUAACUAGUCGAUGCUGGCAAAGGAACGCCUGGAGACUAAGGUUUUAAAUGAUUGAAGCAAGUUGGCAAAAUGGGCGACUACCCAAAAGAAGCGCCUUGUCCAAAUGGGCAGGAAACAAAGGUUGCGUGGAAGAGGGUGCUCGGCCUACGCAAUGAAUCCAAGAGAUUAUCUGAAGGCCUGAAGCAGAUCUGUAAAUUACCUGGAAGAUAAGGUUCGAGUAAUUAAUGAAACAAAUUGGCAGAAACGGAUGACUGCCUGAAUAACUAAUCGAUGCUGGCAGAGGAACACCUGGAGACUAAGAGUCUACAGGCAUUUAUUUAUUGGCAAAUUUCAAAGUGAUGGACCGUGAAUUGAAAGAUGGUUUUCUCCACUGUGGCAUGGAAAGAAUGGUGUGGGGGAAGGGACUUGUUUGCAAGGUGUAUAGCAGAUGGAAGUGAUUAAAGGGCUGGACUGCAGUAGGGUACUGAGUUGGAUAAAUGGCUUCUUCCAUGACCAGAAAAAUGCAAGUAUGUGGAGCAAACAGGAGGUGCUAUAGACGGAGUUGCCCUACCCCACCUCCCCUUAUUCCACAGGGCAGUGCACCAAAUGAGGGAAUGCUAGGACGGAUACCCCUUUUUGGUACAUGCCACAUUUUGCAAAAGUUCCUUUUUUGGUUGCAGUGAACCUCCUGCAAUUGAUAUCUUGGUGUGUAGACCUGUAAUAAAAGUAUCGUGUUUUUCUGCAUGAUAUGAUUAUUCCAAGGUGUGCCUGCUGCUUUUUGUCAAUAAAACCUUGUGUGUUA